rnacentral:pre_miRNA from 1 species
CAGUUACUCCCUCCGUUCCAUAAUUCUUGUCUCAAAUUUGCCCAAAAAUGGAUGUAUCUAUUCCUAAGAAGCGUCUAGAUACAUGUAAUAUUUUGACAAGAAUUAUGGAACGGAGGGAGUAGCAU